ACGCGCAUGCUUUUCUGUAAGAUUAAGCCAUGCAUGUGUUUGUUCACACCAAUUAAUAGUGAGACUGCGGACGGCUCAAUAAAUCGGUUAUAAUCUGUUCGAAAGUACUCCCAUUGGAUAACCGUGGGAAAUCUAGAGCUAAUACAUGUAUAAUUGUAAUGGAUCUUGAUCUAUUACUUGCAUUUAUUAGAUAAAACCAAAUGCUAAUAGUUGGCGAAAGCUGACUGUUAGUAAGGUGAUUCUGGAUAACUGAGCAGAUUGCAUGGCCUUGAGCUGGCAAUAUUUCGAUUGAAUUUCUGCCCUAUCAACUGUUGAUGGUAAGGUAGAGGCUUACCAUGGUUGCAACGGGUAACGGGGGAUCAGGGUUCGAUUCCGGAGAGGGAGCCUGAGAAACGGCUACCACAUCCAAGGGAGGCAGCAGGCGCGCAAAUUACCCAAUCCAGACAAUGGGAGGUGGUAACCAGAAGUACCGUGUGGUGGACAAUGUCUACUUAUCAUGGAAUGAGCAUAAAUUAAACAUUUUGUCGAGUAACGACUGGAGGGCAAGUCUGGUGCCAGCAGCCGCGGUAAUUCCAGCUCCAGUAGCAUGCCGUAAAGUUGUUGCGUUUAAAACGCUCGUAGUCGGAUCAUACAGUAUUCAUUAGUUGACUAGUAUCAGUCGGCAAUCAAACCCUAAUCUGUGUAUUGUUUUCAUUAAUUUGAUACAAUAUACGGAGGUGGGUGUCUACUGUGCUAGUUGUUCGCUAAUAGAUACUAUUUGCAUGUAAGAAUGAUGAUUGGCCUUUAGUGCGUUGAUCAUCGUGUCUUACAGAGUGUGCCUUGAAUAAAUCAUAGUGCUCAAAGCAGGCUAGUGCCUGAAUGAUACAGCAUGGAACGAACAACCGUGUUACGUGUUAUAUAGUACAAGGUUAUACUUGUACUGUAUAACAUAUCACCAACCGCCAUGUACGGAUGUUGGUUUCCGUAUUGGGGUGAUGAUUAAAACGAGCGGUUGGGGGCAUUGGUAUUUGGCCGCGAGAGGUGAAAUUCUUAGACCGGCCAAGGACUAACAAAAGCGAAGGCAUUUGCCAAGACCGUCUCGAUUGAUCAAGAACGAUAGUGAGAGUUUCGAAGAUGAUCAGAUACCGUCCUAGUUCUCACUGUAAACUAUGCCAACCCGAGAUCAGUUUAAAGCAAUAUUAACGCUCUAGGUUGGUCCCCCUGGGAAACCUCAAGUUUUUGGGUUACGGGGGGAGUAUGGUCGCAAGGCUGAAACUUAAAGGAAUUGACGGAAGGGCACCACCAGGGGUGGAGCCUGCGGCUUAAUUUGACUCAACACGGGACAACUCACUCGGCCAGAACGUCGAAAGGAUUGACAGACUAAUAGAUCUUACAUGAUACGAUGCGUGGUGGUGCAUGGCCGUUCUUAGUUCGUGAUGUGAAUUGUCAGAUUUAUUUCGGUAACGAACGAGACCCAAGUCUUUACUUACGACGUGGAAUAGUAAUCCUACGGAUUGCUCUAGUUGUCGUUGGCGAUUGAUUAACUUGUUAUGAGAUUGCCAAUGAUAACUAUCCUUCCACGAUGCUGUUUAUGGCAACAUAGAUAGCUGCAUAAAGAGACUACUGACUAUACAUAUAAAAUCAGAGGAAGUUGGGCGAUAACAGGUCUGUGAUGCCCUUAGAUGUUCGAGGCUGCACGCGCGCUACAAUGAUAGCAGCAAUGAGAUAUCUGAUUCGAGAGAAUUGGGAAAUCUGUUAAUUGCUAUCGUGAUGGGGAUUGCUCAUUGUAAUUUGGGCAUGAAAUAGGAAUCCCUUGUACGUGCACUUCAUUUAAAGUGCGUGGAAUGAGUCCCUGCCCUUUGUACACACCGCCCGUCGCUACUACCGAGUGAAUCGUUUCAUGAUGCGUUGGGACUGGACGUCGUUCGGAUAACAUCUGAAUGAUGCUAGGAUCAAUGUAAAAUGACUCAAUUUCGAGGAAGUAAAAGU
rnacentral:rRNA from 1 species